rnacentral:pre_miRNA from 1 species
AAUAUGCUCCCUCCGUCCAGAAAUAUUGAUCAGAGAAAUGGAUGUAUCUAGACGUAUUUUAGUUUUAGAUACAUUAAACUUUUAUCCAUUUCUCUGACAAGUUGACGGAGGGAGUACAUC